GGGCUCGAUUCAGCAGCACAUAUACUAAAAUUGGAACGAUACAGAGAAGAUCAGCAUGGCCCCUGCGCAAGGGUGACACGCAAAUCCGUGAAAUGUUCCAUAUUUUC